AGUGAACGCUGGCGGUAGGCCUAACACAUGCAAGUCGAACGGCAGCACAGUAAGAGCUUGCUCUUACGGGUGGCGAGUGGCGGACGGGUGAGGAAUACAUCGGAAUCUACUUUUUCGUGGGGGAUAACGUAGGGAAACUUACGCUAAUACCGCAUACGACCUACGGGUGAAAGCAGGGGAUCUUCGGACCUUGCGCGAUUGAAUGAGCCGAUGUCGGAUUAGCUAGUUGGCGGGGUAAAGGCCCACCAAGGCGACGAUCCGUAGCUGGUCUGAGAGGAUGAUCAGCCACGCUGGAACUGAGACACGGUCCAGACUCCUACGGGAGGCAGCAGUGGGGAAUAUUGGACAAUGGGCGCAAGCCUGAUCCAGCCAUACCGCGUGGGUGAAGAAGGUCUUCGGGUUGUAAAGCCCUUUUGUUGGGAAAGAAAAGCAGCAGGUUAAUACCCCGCUGUUCUGACGGUACCCAAAGAAUAGGCACCGGCUAACUUCGUG
rnacentral:rRNA from 1 species